rnacentral:rRNA from 1 species
UACGUAGGGUGCAAGCGUUGUCCGGAAUUAUUGGGCGUAAGGAGCUUGUAGGCGGUUUGUCGCGUCUGCUGUGAAAUUUCGGGGCUCAACCCCGAACUUGCAGUGGGUACGGGCAGACUAGAGUGUGGUAGGGGAGACUGGAAUUCCUGGUGUAGCGGUGAAAUGCGCAGAUAUCAGGAAGAACACCGAUGGCGAAGGCAGUUCUCUGGGACGGGUGACUGACGCUGAGACGCGAAAGCGUGGGGAGCGAACAGG